UGGGACGUCCAAGAUCAAGAUGCUGACAGAUUUGGUGUCUGGUGAGGGACCACUUAUUCAUAGAUGGCACCUUCUAGCUGUCUCUUCACAUGAUGGAAAGGCCUCCCAGGUGUUCCCAGCUGCUCAAAUGAUCACCACCACAGAGGAAAGCUGUUUGGUGCACUCAAAGCCUGGAAGUGUUAGGGUGUCCCUGCGUCACCCUCAGGAUUUCCCUUGCUCAGCCCUCUUAAAGGGCCUUACCAUGAGGGCAAUGCUUAACCCAAGAAAAUAGAACCCGGACAGGGCUUUGUGGUGCAGAGAGGUGUUUUGUGGUCAGAGGCCUCUUGCCUGGUAAGGAACAUGUUUUCCUGCUGUCAAUCCAUUGCUAAAAUAAAUCAUCUUAAAAUA